UACGGGGGGAGCAAGCGUUGUUCGGAUUUACUGGGCGUAAAGGGCGCGUAGGCGGCGUGACAAGUCACUUGUGAAAUCUCCGGGCUUAACUCGGAACGGUCAAGUGAUACUGUCGUGCUAGAGUACAGAAGGGGCAACUGGAAUUCUCGGUGUAGCGGUGAAAUGCGUAGAUAUCGAGAGGAACACCAGUGGCGAAGGCGACUACCUGGCCUGUUCUUGACGCUGAGGCGCGAAAGCUAGGGGAGCAAACGGG
rnacentral:rRNA from 1 species